CUACGUGCCAGCAGCCGCGGUAAUACGGAAGGUCCGGGCGUUAUCCGGAUUUAUUGGGUUUAAAGGGAGCGUAGGCUGGAGAUUAAGUGUGUUGUGAAAUGUAGACGCUCAACGUCUGACUUGCAGCGCAUACUGGUUUCCUUGAGUACGCACAACGUUGGCGGAAUUCGUCGUGUAGCGGUGAAAUGCUUAGAUAUGACGAAGAGCUCCGAUUGCGAAGGCAGCUGACGGGAGCGCAACUGACGCUGAAGCUCGAAGGUGCGGGUAUCGAACAGGAUUAGAUACCCUGGUAGUCCGCACAGUAAACGAUGGAUGCCCGCUGUUGGUACUUGGUAUCAGCGGCUAAGCGAAAGCAUUAAGCAUCCCACCUGGGGAGUACGCCGGCAACGGUGGAACUCAAAGGAAUUGACGGGGGCCCGCACAAGCGGAGGAACAUGUGGUUUAAUUCGAUGAUACGCGAGGAACCUUACCCGGGCU
rnacentral:rRNA from 1 species